rnacentral:rRNA from 1 species
UACAUGGGGUGCAAACGUUGCUCGGAAUUAUUGGGCGUAAAGCGCACGUAGGCGGUUCGUUAAGUCGGAUGUGAAAGCCCUCGGCUCAACUGAGGAAGUGCACCCGAAACUGGCGAGCUUGAGUACGAAAGAGGAUCGCGGAAUUCCCGGUGUAGAGGUGAAAUUCGUAGAUAUCGGGGAGGAACACCGGCGGCGAAGGCGGCGAUCUGGGUCGAUACUGACGCUGAGGUGCGAAAGCGUGGGGAGCAAACAGG